rnacentral:other from 1 species
AAUAGCCUGCGGUGUUCGCGUUUUAGGGAAUUUUCUCUUGCGACAAGUCGAAUCCAUGGGAUUCCUAAAUGCUUUGAACUGAAUUGCUAUCCCUAGAGGAAAAACAGGAUGUUCUGGAACGGAAUCCCACUUGAACAGUUUGAGUUCAAGAGGAUGAACUCCCGAAGCGGCAUUGCGGGUUUUAU